GCUUGUCUCAAAGAUUAAGCCAUGCAUGUCUAUGUUUAAACAAUCUAAACGUGAAACUGCGCAUGGCUCAUUAUAACAGCGAUCACCUACUUGAUUUUCACACUCACUACAUGGAUAACCGUAGUAAUUCUAGAGCUAAUACAUGCGCAAAGUCCCGACUCUCGCGGGGAGGGAUGUAUUUAUUAGAUAAAAAACCAAUGCGGGGGCAACUCCGGUCAUUUCGGUGAUUCAUAAUAACUGGUCGGAUCGCAUGGCCUCGUGCCGGCGACAUAUCAUACGGAUCUCUGCCCUAUCAGCUUUCGACGGUAGUGUAGUGGACUACCGUGGCGUUAACGGGUGACGGAGAAUUAGGGUUCGAUUCCGGAGAGGGAGCCUGAGACACGGCUACCACAUCCAAGGAAGGCAGCAGG
rnacentral:rRNA from 1 species